UACAGAGGUGGCAAGCGUUGUUCGGAAUUACUGGGCGUAAAGAGCUCGUAGGCGGCUUGUCGCGUCGUCCGUGAAAACCUGCAGCUCAACUGCAGGCUUGCGGUCGAUACGGGCAUCACUGGAGUUCGGCAGGGGAGACUGGAAUUCCUGGUGUAGCGGUGAAAUGCGCAGAUAUCAGGAAGAACACCAAUGGCGAAGGCAGCUCUCUGGGACGGUACUGACGCUGAGACGCGAAAGCGUGGGGAGCGAGCAGG
rnacentral:rRNA from 1 species